GAUGAAGAACGUAGCGAAAUGCGAUAAGUAAUGUGAAUUCCAGAAUUCAGUGAAUCAUCGAAUCUUUGAACGCACAUUGCGCCCCUUGGUAUUCCGAGGGGCAUGCCUGUUCGAGCGUCAUUAUAACCCCUCAAGCUCAGCUUGGUGUUGGGGCCUGCUGCACUGGCAGCCCUUAAAAUCAGUGGCGGCGCCAUCUGGCUCUAAGCGUAGUAAUUCUUCUCGCUAUGGAGUCCUGGUGGAUGCUUGCCAUCAACCCCCAAUUUUUCUAUGGUUGACCUCGGAUCAGGUAGGGAUACCCGCUGAACUUAAGCAUAUCAAUAAGCGGAGGA
rnacentral:misc_RNA from 1 species